rnacentral:rRNA from 1 species
UGUAUAAUGGGUCAGCGACUUAUAUUCUGUAGCAAGGUUAACCGAAUAGGGGAGCCGAAGGGAAACCGAGUCUUAACUGGGCGUUAAGUUGCAGGGUAUAGACCCGAAACCCGGUGAUCUAGCCAUGGGCAGGUUGAAGGUUGGGUAACACUAACUGGAGGACCGAACCGACUAAUGUUGAAAAAUUAGCGGAUGACUUGUGGCUGGGGGUGAAAGGCCAAUCAAACCGGGAGAUAGCUGGUUCUCCCCGAAAGCUAUUUAGGUAGCGCCUCGUGAAUUCAUCUCCGGGGGUAGAGCACUGUUUCGGCAAGGGGGUCAUCCCGACUUACCAACCCGAUGCAAACUGCGAAUACCGGAGAAUGUUAUCACGGGAGACACACGGCGGGUGCUAACGUCCGUCGUGAAGAGGGAAACAACCCAGACCGCCAGCUAAGGUCCCAAAGUCAUGGUUAAGUGGGAAACGAUGUGGGAAGGCCCAGACAGCCAGGAUGUUGGCUUAGAAGCAGCCAUCAUUUAAAGAAAGCGUAAUAGCUCACUGGUCGAGUCGGCCUGCGCGGAAGAUGUAACGGGGCUAAACCAUGCACCGAAGCUGCGGCAGCGACGCUUAUGCGUUGUUGGGUAGGGGAGCGUUCUGUAAGCCUGUGAAGGUGUGCUGUGAGGCAUGCUGGAGGUAUCAGAAGUGCGAAUGCUGACAUAAGUAACGAUAAAGCGGGUGAAAAGCCCGCUCGCCGGAAGACCAAGGGUUCCUGUCCA